rnacentral:rRNA from 1 species
UGCAAGUCGACGGUAACAGCAUGUGCUUGCAUCUGGCUGACGAGUGGCGGACGGGUGAGUAACACGUAGGAAUCUACCCAGUAGAGGGGGAUAGCCCGGGGAAACCUGGAUUAAUACCGCAUACGCCCCAAGGGGGAAAGGUGGCCAAUUCUUGAAAGCCACCACUAUUGGAUGAGCCUGCGGCAGAUUAGCUAGUUGGUGGGGUAAAGGCCUACCAAGGCGACGAUCUGUAGCUGGUCUGAGAGGACGACCAGCCACACUGGGACUGAGACACGGCCCACACUCCUACGGGAGGCAGCAGUGGGGAAUAUUGCGCAGUGGGCGAAAGCCUGACGCACCCAUGCCGCGUGUGUGAAGAAGGCUCCAGGGUUGUAAAGCACUUUCAGAAGUGAGGAAAGCGAUUUGGUUAAUACCCAAAUUGUGUGACGUUAACUUCAGAAGAAGCACCGGCUAACUCCGUGCCAGCAGCCGCGGUAAUACGGAGGGUGCAAACGCUAAUCGGAAUUACUGGGCGUAAAGCGCUCGCAGGUGGUUUGUUAAGUGGGAUGCGAAAGCCCCGGGCUCAACCUGGGAAUUGCAUCCCAAACUGACGCACUAGAGUAUGGUAGAGGAAGGUGGAAUUCCGCGUGUAGCGGUGGAAUGCGUAGAGAUGCGGAGGAACACCAGUGGCGAAGACGGCCUUCUGGACCAAUACUGACACUGAGGGAGCGAAAGCGUGGGGAGCAAACAGGCUUAGAUACCCUAGUAGUCCACGCCGUAAACGAUGAGAACUAGCCGUUGGAUGUCUUCAAUAGGCGUUUCGUGGCGAAGCUAACGCGAUAAGUUCUCCGCCUGGGGAGUACGGCCGCAAGGUUAAAACUCAAAUGAAUUGACGGGUAGCGAACG